AUUGAACGCUGGCGGCAGGCCUAACACAUGCAAGUCGAGCGGAUGAAGGGAGCUUGCUCCUGGAUUCAGCGGCGGACGGGUGAGUAAUGCCUAGGAAUCUGCCUGGUAGUGGGGGAUAACGUCCGGAAACGGGCGCUAAUACCGCAUACGUCCUGAGGGAGAAAGUGGGGGAUCUUCGGACCUCACGCUAUCAGAUGAGCCUAGGUCGGAUUAGCUAGUUGGUGGGGUAAAGGCCUACCAAGGCGACGAUCCGUAACUGGUCUGAGAGGAUGAUCAGUCACCCGGGACUUGGGACACGGUCCAGACCCCUACGGGAGGGCCCAGGGGGAAAUUUUGGACAAUGGGCGAAACCCUAAUCCAGCCAUCCCGGGGGUUGGAAAAAGGUUUUCGGUUUGUAAAGCCUUUUAAGUUGGGAGGAAGGGAAGUAAGUUAAUCCCUUGCUGUUUUGGCGUUACCAACAAAAUAAGCACCGGCUACCUUCGU
rnacentral:rRNA from 1 species